GACGAACGCUGGCGGCGUGCUUAACACAUGCAAGUCGUACGGUAAGGCCCUUUCGGGGGUACACGCGUGGCGAACGGGUGAGUAACACGUGCGUAACCUGCCCACCACUUUGGGAUAACUCUCGGCAACUAGUUCUAAUACUGACUAUGUGCUCGCUCUUCCUGCUGGGGGUUGGAAAGCUCCGGCGGUUGUGGAUGGACUCGCGGCCUAUCAGCUUGCUGGUGGGGUAGUGGCCUACCAAGGCGGCGACGGGUGGCCGGCCUGGGAGGGUGACCGGCCACAUUGGGACUGAGAUACGGCCCAGACUCCUACGGGAGGCAGCAGGGGGGAAUAUUGCACAAUGGGCGCAAGCCUGAUGCAGCAACGCCGCGGGCGGGAUGACGGCCUUCGGGUUGUAAACCGCUUUCAGCAGGGACGAAGCUGUUUGUGACGGUACCUGCAGAAGAAGCACCGGCUAACUACGUG
rnacentral:rRNA from 1 species